rnacentral:rRNA from 1 species
AGAGUUUGAUCCUGGCUCAGGAUGAACGCUGGCGGCGUGCCUAACACAUGCAAGUCGAACGAGGUAUUAAGAGCUUGCUUUUGAUACCGAGUGGCGGACGGGUGAGUAAUGUAUGAGCAACCUGCCUUUCAGAGGGGGACAACAGUUGGAAACGACUGCUAAUACCGCAUAAUGUUUUUGAGCGGCAUCGCUUAAAAACCAAAGGAGCAAUCCGCUGAAAGAUGGGCUCAUAUCUGAUUAGUUAGUUGGUGAGGUAACGGCUCACCAAGACUGCGAUCAGUAGCCGGACUGAGAGGUUGAACGGCCACAUUGGGACUGAGAUACGGCCCAGACUCCUACGGGAGGCAGCAGUGGGGAAUAUUGGGCAAUGGGCGAAAGCCUGACCCAGCAACGCCGCGUGAAGGAAGAAGGUCUUCGGAUUGUAAACUUCUUUUAUGAGGGACGAAGGAAGCGACGGUACCUCAUGAAUAAGCCACGGCUAACUACGUGCCAGCAGCCGCGGUAAUACGUAGGUGGCAAGCGUUAUCCGGAUUUACUGGGUGUAAAGGGCGCGUAGGCGGGGAUGCAAGUCAGAUGUGAAAUCUGUGGGCUCAACUCACAAACUGCAUUUGAAACUGUAUCUCUUGAGUGCUGGAGAGGUAGACGGAAUUCCUUGUGUAGCGGUGAAAUGCGUAGAUAUAAGGAAGAACACCAGUGGCGAAGGCGGUCUACUGGACAGUAACUGACGCUGAGGCGCGAAAGCGUGGAGAGCAAACAGGAUUAGAUACCCUGGUAGUCCACGCUGUAAACGAUGAAUACUAGGUGUGGGAGGACUGACCCCUUCCGUGCCGCAAUUAACACAAUA